AGGCCCGGCCCCUGCUCCAUGCCCGGCUGCUCAGUGUGGGCCACAGUCAUGGAGGGGGCGGAGGCACAGAGCAGCCAGGGCACCGCGGGAGGCUGGCAGGUGCUUCCUGCCCCUGCGGGGAGGUCACUGCUGGGUCCGCCUCACUCCCAGCCUCGGCUCUGAAGUCCUGCCCUCCUCCUGGCCUGGUGACUCACCUGCUUCCCGGUCAUCAUCGUGCCUGAGUCGGCCCAGCCUCCUCCGAGUGUUGGGGACUGAACCAGGGCGUGAGCAUGCAGCUCUGUCAGUUCUCCAGAUGCUUGUAAUAUGCCGGCCCAAGUGCUGUGACCAACUUCGUGUUUUGCUGAGGUGGGAACAGCAGCCUCUACUUCUUCUCAGGCGCUGGCCCUGCUAAGACCUUGAGCCUUUACCCUUUCCCUGCACCUUGCCUUUGGUGGGGGCUGGUCGCAGGCACAGCAUCAGAGGCCAGCGGCUGUCUCCCACUUUCUGCUGCCUGUGCGGCGAAGCCUGUGGAGCUGCGUUCUGACAAGGUGUCCCCAGGCCGCAGCAAGUCUCCGUCGGUGGGAUCUGGGGAUCGCCUCAGAGGCCUGUACUGCUGGGGUUGUAGAGGUGCCCGGUAGUGAAUAAGCCUCUUUGCUGCUGCUGGGUGUGGGAGCAAGGAGGCGGCUCGCCUUGGGUGCCCCAGCAUCCCCUGCCUGCUGCCACCUCCCUAACUUGCCCUGGAUGCUACCAGGGCAGCAAGUUCGCCGGGGCUUGGGGAGGAUUGCUUCCAGCAGCCAGCAGCUGUUUACAUCUAUGGUUCUUUUUUGGGCCAAAUGUUACUCACUUGACAACAGUAUAUGGGAAAUGUCUCAAACUGCAAUGCAUGACCUUUUUAUUAUGGAGCAGAAUGUAUUUUGCAAACAGAAAGACAGCAGGAAAAGACUAAUGUGCUGACAUUGGAAAGGACAGCAGACCAAGAUGACAGUAUAGGAACAUUGUGGACAUUUGUUUUGAUUGUAAAUUUAAUUUAAAAAGUAAAUUUUUGUUCCUAAUUAAAUAAGAGUGUUUUGACAUUCUCGUCCCUCUAGGCUUGCUUGUUAACCUGGGCCUGUUUCUAGAUCAUCAUCCAAGAGGGAACCAAACACAUAGCUGACUCUUCCGUCACUCUGGUGACAAGCCCUUGCGUGUGAUGUGGUCCCAUCCCAGAUAACCGAGUCAAGUUCACAGAAUCGCUGCCUGGGGUUCUAGGGGCUGCACGGGGGUUGCUUCACCAGCGUGUACCACACUGACAAAGGCUUUGCUUGCGUGGCUUCUUCUUGUUUUUGCGCAAGUAUUUUUUAGUUUUCCACUGCAGGAAGCGAAGACACGUGUCCAGGUAGAGGGUCAUGUAGCUCGCACUCAUGCAUCUGAUCCCAAAUUCCACGUGACAGCAAAUUGCAUUUCUGUUGUUUGACCCCGAAGUGGUUUUCUGUGCUUCUUCAGGGUUGGGGGGCGGCAGUGCCUGCACACCCUAGGCAGGCGCUGCACCACUGAGCUCCUCCCCAGCCCCAAUCUCUGUGAUUCAAUAAUAUUUGCUGAUGUACUUAUUAUUAUUGGUUUUUCUUUGACAAAGUGUCACCCUGCAGUUGAGGCUCACCUUGAACUCACAGCGACCCUCCAGCCUCAGCCUCCUAAGUCUUGGGAUCACAGGCUUGAGCCGCCACGCCUGGCCUUAGUGAUGUAAAGUACUUAGGAGAUAUCAUUUAAUACCUACCUAAUGGCAUCCAUAUAACUGAAACUAGGCCUCUUCCUCAGUGACAGUACCGGUGUUGUGGUGCUUAAUGACUUAAACCAGCAGUUCUUUGGUAUCACUUAAGUCCGUCUAUGCACAGUACCCUCAUAGGGACUGGAAAUGCCUUGCUGUGACAGGCUUGUCUGAGUAAGGCUCUAAGCCAAAUCCAUGGGUCUGAGCUGGCUGUUGGACAGGAGGGGGGCUUCUGGCGCCCAGGCCCGAUGUGUGAUGCUCGGCCGGGCUGGGUUGGCCCAGAUGUCCACUGUGUGUACUGCCAAGCACUGCCACUACCUGUUCGCAUGUUCCUCUCCAGACUCCAGACACUGGGAGUAAGGGACUGGGGGACUGGCCUCAUGUCCCCAGGAGCAGCACAUGGCCCAACACAAAGGAAGGUGUCUGAGGUCAGACUACAGCCCCAGUCCCCAUUUUUUUUUUUUUUUUUGGUUUUGGUUUUUCUCCGGUACCAGGAACCGAACUCACGACCUUGCGCUUGCCAGGCAGGCGCUUUUGCCGCUGAGCUAAAUCCCCAGCCCCCCAGUCCCCAUUCUGACAGUCAGGUUUUGGGUCCUGGCUCUGCUAGUGAACUCGCUGGUGUUAACCAGGUAGUUAUCCUCUACGCAAGCUCAUUGCCCUGUCUUGUCCUCCAUGUCACCACCUGUGAGGUUGGUACCAACAGCGCACACUCACGGGGUGCUGUGUGGAUUCUGAGAGCUACGGUCAGGACCUGUUAGCCUAAGGUAACCCGGAGAGGCGAGUGGGGACCACAGCCACCCAGGUCUCUGACCGAGGGCACAUCCCUGCGUGACAUCUGGGGACAAGCAGGAACAGGUGCUUCCCCUGUAGCUUGCUUGCAGCUAGUUUAGAACUGUCUGGCCAGACGCAGUCACAUGCACGGGUAAACCCCAGCUCCUCCAGGAGCUGAGCCCGGAGGAUCUCAGGUUCAAGGCCGGCCUCAGCAACUUAGCAAGCCGCAGUCUCAACACUCAAAAUGGAAAAGGGCUGGGGAUGUAGCUCAGUAUGGUGUUUGUCUAGCGUGCUGGAGGCCCCGUGUUCAAUCCUCAGGAUCACAAAAGUAAAUGAAUGAAAUGAAAUAACGAAGAUUAAAACUCUAUCUGCCGAUGCCCGGGCUCCUCGUCCCCUCCCGCCUGCCAUCUGGGUCACUGCGGCGGGUCAAGAGUCCAGCGUUCCUUCUGAAGCUGGCCGUGCCCUCCCGCCCUGCAUGGUGCCUCUGUCCGCAGCGGCCCCUCUCCCAGGCUGCUCGGCGACAUGAGCUCUGGCUCCACCUGCAGGCUGCUUGUGGUACACGGCAGUCCCAACGCCCUGGGACCUGGGAGGCCCUUCUUCCUCUUACCGCAGGCUAGAUCAUCCAGAGGCCCUCCUCCAGCCCUGCACAAGUGUCGGCGUGGACAAGGGCCUAGGCACAGACGCCCUGUACCAGAAAACCGACCUGGCCAGCGACUCAGGCAGGGGAGCAGCGGCUCAGCUCUGUGGGAAGCAGAGUGCGGCAGGACACAGCCCCUCCACCUGGUCACCUCCCGUCUCUGGGCAUCAGUGCUCGCUCAUACCUUGGCAUGUCACUGCUUUUUCUCAGCUUCACUUACUCUUCUGUGGGGUCAAUGCCUCGGCCUCUAAGGCGGACCACAUGCAUGAUGCUCCAGGGCAGAGCUGGUGUCCAGGGCCCUGCAUGGUGACUAGCAGCGCAGCUCAGGCCUCCAGGGGAUGGCAAGGCAGGGCUGCACGCCCUCCCUGUGAUCAGCAACUUCCAAAGCCUGUCUCUGGCCUCAGCAUGCCCCAGGAAACCAUCAGAAACCCAGGCUGCCAACAUCAGAACAAUGGGGCCCAAGACUCUGGUUGGGUGUGGAGUUGAACCCACAAGGCUCUUGGGCGACACUAUGCCCAGCAACCCACAGCUGAGGAAGGGCACAGGCGGGCUCAUCCCCACCUUGUGGAAGAGGAGCCUGAAGCUCAGGCAGUCCCCAGUGAAGGUGGCAGUCGGGUCUGCACCACACAUCAACUACGCACAGGUGGCAUGGGACGUCUGUGGCUGAAGGGAAGGGAGGACUUCGAGGCCAGGCUCAGGCUGCUGCUUCCACCCUGCAGCUCUCCUCACAGACUCGAGGCCCGCUUCGGACUCACUCCUACCCCUUCUCAUGCUUUACGAUCCUAUCUCGGGCUGGAGGAGUUUGGUGACCGCCUUGGGUGGAGACAGGGAUUAGGCACUAUUCAUUCAUAUUGGCCUAGUGAGAAGAUACAAUUGGCUUUUCUGUACUGUUUACUCUGCUUUGUGAUUUCCAGAAAAAAAAAGUUUUCACCUAGAGCUUA